UGUCAGAUGUGGGGUUCGAACCCACACCCUUAUUAGAGGACCAGAACUUAAGUCUGGCGCCUUAGACCACUCGGCCAAUCUGAC
rnacentral:tRNA from 1 species